GUUCGAUAUCCUACGAUCGACUCGGAGCGUGGACCAGCAAGAAUCGAGGUGACCACCAAAGCUCGGGUAGUCAACACGCUCGCAAAAUUCCAUCGUCCCAAUUGUGGUGGUAGCUCAUGCCCUUGGUGUGCCACUACACCUAUGCACUCCCGGUGCUGGCCUACGUGCUCUCCAUUCGACCCAUCUUGAAACAUAGACCAAGGAGUCUAACAUGUGUACGAGUCAAUGGAUGAGUAAACCCUAAGGCUCAAGGAAGCUAAUUGGCGUGAUCUCCCUGAGGGGUGCAACGUCGAUUGACCUAGAUCUUUUGAGAAGGGUUUGAGUGCAAGCAUACCUAUUGGGACCCAAAAGAUGGUAAAAUGUGCCUGAGCGGGGUGAAGCCAAAGGAAACUCUGGUGGAGACCUGCAGUGAUACUGACGUGCAAAUCGUUUGUCUGACUUGGGUAUAGGGGCGAAAGACUAAUCGAACCAUCGAGUAGCUGGUUCUCUUCGAAGUUUUCUUCAGGAUAGCUGGAGCUUAGGUGCGAGUUCUAUAGGGUAAAACCAAUGAUUAGAGGCAUCGGAGACACAAUGUCCUCGAUCUAUUCUCAAACUAUAAAUAGGUAGGACAGCAUGACUACUUCGUUGAGCUGUGCCAUGAAAUUGAGAGCUUCAAGUAGGCCAUUUUUGUUAAGCUAAACUGGCAAUGCAUUUUUAAUCGAAAGCCGGGUUACGAUGGCUAAUUGCAUGCUAACCUAGAUCCCAUAAAGAGUGUUGGUUAAUUAAAACAGAAGAAUGGUGGUCAUAGAAGUUGAAAUCUGCUGAGGAGUGUGUAACAACUUACCUACUGAAUCAACUAGCCCCAAAAUUGUAUGGUGCUGAAGUCCGUUACCUCAGACACAAAACCUUGGGCAUGAGCCCGGGCAGAGUGUUUGUUGUUGCGAAUCUUUGUGGUAGUAUCAAAUAUUCAAAUGGGAACUUUAAAGGCCGAAGAGGGGAAAGGUUCCAUGUGAGCAACACUUGCACAUGGGUUAGUCGAUCCUAAAGGUCAGGGAAAGCUCGAUAGAUAGCGCAUUUCACGCGUGCAUCGAAAGAAAAUUGGGUUAAAAUUCCUGAACAAGGACAUGACGGUUGACGGCAACGUUAGGGAGUCCGGAGACGUCGACGGAGACCUCGGAAAGAGUUAUCCUUUUUGUUUAAAAACAUGUCCACUCAGUAAAUUGCUCAGUCGGAGGUAGGGUCCAGUAGCUGGAAGACCACUGCACGUCUCAUGGUGUCUGGUGCAUCCCCGACGACCCUUGAAAAUUUGGAGGAUUGAGUAUCGUCCGCACCCGAUCGUACUCAUAACAGUAUCAGGUUUCCAAGGUGAACAACCUUUGAUCAAUGGAACAAUGUAGGCAAAGAAAGUUGGCAAAAUGGAUUCGUAACUUUGAGAAAAGGAUUGGCUCUGAGGGCUGGGCAUGGGGGUCCCAGUCCCAAACCCAUUGGCUGUCGACGGACUGUUCAAUCUACUCCUACAACGAGAGUAGGUCACCACAUGAUGGCUGAGGAACGAACUAGGGAUGCGUCCUUUCGGGGCUUCCUCGGGCAUCGAACAGUCAACUCAGAACUAAUAUAAGCAAGGAAAAUCUGACUGUUUAAUUAAAACAAAGCAUUCCAAGGUCCCUAUGAAUGCUCACGUAAUGUGAUUUCUGCCCAAUGCUCUGAAUGUCAAAGUGAAGAAAUUCAACCAAGUACAGGUAAAUGAUGAGAGUAACUAUAACUCUCUUACGGUAGCCAAAUGUCUCAUCAUCUAAUUAGUGACGCGCAUAAAUGGAUUAACGAGACUCCUAUUGUCCCUAUUUACUAUCCAGCGAAACCACAGCCAAGUGAACGAGCGUGGCAGAUUCAGCGGGAAAAGAAGACCCUGUUGAGCUUGAAUCUAGUUCGACUUUAUAAAAUGACUUGGGAGUGUAGGAUAAGUGGGAGUCGAAAGCCGAAAGUGAAAGACCACUACUUUUAAUGUUAUUUUACUUAUUCCAUGAAUCGGAGGUGGGGCACUGCCCCUCUUUUUGGACCCAAGGCUCACUUCACGGGCUGAUCCGGGUGGAAGACAUUGUCAGGUGGGGAGUUUGACUGGGGCAGUACAUCUGUUAAAAGAUAACAUAGGUGUCCUAAGAUUAGCUCAACGAGAACAGAAAUCUCGUAUGGAACAGAAGGAUAAAAGCUUGUUUCAUUCUGAUUUCCAGUAUGAAUAUGAACCGUGAAAGCAUGGCCUAACGAUCCUUUAGACCUUCAAAAUUUGAAGCUAGAGGUGUUAGAAAAGUUACCUCAAUGAUAACUGGCUUGUGACAACCAAGCAUUCAUAGCGACAUUGCUUUUUGAUCCUUCGAUGUCGGCUCUUCCUGUCAUUGUGAAGUAAAAUUCACGAAGUGUUGGAUUGUUCACCCAUCAAUAGGGAACGUGAGCUAGAUUAUGACUAAAUGCCUGACAGGUUAGUUUUAUACUACUAAUGAUAGUGUCACUAUAGUAAUUCAACCUAGUACGAGAGGAACCAUUGAGUCUCACAAUUGGUAAUCGCUCUUGGUUGAAACGCUAGUGGCGUGAAGCUACCGUGCGCUGGAUUAUAACUGAACGACUCUAAGUUUGAAUCCAGGAUAGAAGCAAUGUACAUACUCACCGUCCACUUGUCGACCCA
rnacentral:rRNA from 1 species